rnacentral:rRNA from 1 species
GUCCACGCUGUAAACGAUGACGACUAGGUGUGGGGGGGGUUAGUCCUUUCCGUGCCGCAGCUAACGCAUUAAGUCGUCCGCCUGGGGAGUACGGCCGCAAGGUUGAAACUCAAAGGAAUUGACGGGGGCCCGCACAAGCGGUGGAGCAUGUGGUUCAAUUCGAUGCAGAGCGAAGAACCUUACCUGGGCUUGACAUGCUGGAAGUAGAAACCCGAAAGGGGGACGACCUGUUAAGUCAGGAGCCAGCACAGGUGGUGCAUGGCUGUCGU